UGGGGAAUAUUGCACAAUGGGCGCAAGCCUGAUGCAGCCAUGCCGCGUGUGUGAAGAAGGCCUUCGGGUUGUAAAGCACUUUCAGCGAGGAGGAAGGGUAGUGUGUUAAUAGCACAUUGCAUUGACGUUACUCGCAGAAGAAGCACCGGCUAACUCCGUGCCAGCAGCCGCGGUAAUACGGAGGGUGCAAGCGUUAAUCGGAAUUACUGGGCGUAAAGCGCACGCAGGCGGGUUGGUAAGUCAGAUGUGAAAUCCCCGCGCUUAACGUGGGAACUGCAUUUGAAACUGGCAAGCUAGAGUCUUGUAGAGGGGGGUAGAAUUCCAGGUGUAGCGGUGAAAUGCGUAGAGAUCUGGAGGAAUACCGGUGGCGAAGGCGGCCCCCUGGACAAAGACUGACGCUCAGGUGCGAAAGCGUGGGGAGCAAACA
rnacentral:rRNA from 1 species